AUGAAUGUACAGAUUCAAGAUUUCCUUUCACCUAGGCUUGGUCAGUUGGCCACUUCAAUUCCCACUUCUUGUCAUGUGAUCUUGAUGUGGAUACUUCGACAUUACAUACAAAAUAUGACGCAUUCUGUAGAAGUUACUAAUGGUCAAAAUUUUACUGAAUCCGUCACUUGCUUACUCCUAUUCACAUUUCAGCCUCCUUGCAUGGUAGAGCAUAACAUGGUUCCUGAUGUUCCAUUCUAA
rnacentral:rRNA from 1 species